rnacentral:rRNA from 1 species
UACGUAGGGGGCGAGCGUUGUCCGGAUUUAUUGGGCGUAAAGAGCGUGUAGGCGGCCAGGUAGGUCUGCUGUGAAAACUCGAGGCUCAACCUCGAGACGUCGGCGGAAACCAUCUGGCUAGAGUCCGGAAGAGGAGAGUGGAAUUCCUGGUGUAGCGGUGAAAUGCGCAGAUAUCAGGAAGAACACCCGUGGCGAAGGCGGCUCUCUGGUACGUGACUGACGCUGAGACGCGAAAGCGUGGGGAGCAAACAGG